rnacentral:lncRNA from 1 species
CUCACAUGCACUGGGAUUCAAGGAGAAAUCUAACUCCAGGAUUUCUGUCUUUAAAGAGCUCGCAGCCCAGGGAAGGAUAGACACACCCCUGAUUUGCCCAUGAUGGGAGGAGCGUUCAUGGACUCAUCCAAUGAGGACUUCAGUACCGAGUACUCCCUGUUUAACUCCCCUGGCAAUGUCCACUCGACGUCCAACGGCCACGGCCAGCCUGAGGAGUCUCCUCGCUCCUCCAACGAUGCUGUUCUGCUAUGGAUUGCCAUCAUAGCAACACUGGGGAACAUAGUGGUGGUAGGGGUGGUGUAUGCCUUCACCUUCUGAGGAUGCUGAAGCUGUGGGGAUGCCCCUCCCACUCUGGACUCACCUAGUAAGGUUUUUCAUGUGGCUCCAUCUUUCUCCCAGAUGCUGGAGACACCUAUGUUCUUGAAUGGUCCCUGGAGGGGCAGGCACCAUACAUCUGUAAUUUCCUCCAGGCAGAUCGGGUUUAGCAUAUUCCAUGUUGAGGUUGAGCUCAUUCAAGACACCUUGAAGUUGGUGCUUUCAGCUCCUAAAAGCUUGAUGGCUUGAGUCCUUCAAACAGCAGACUGAAAAAUUCUUGAAGUUUCGGUCAGUCCCAGAAUGAUGGUUUUGAACAUCCUAUUGGGUGGGAAAAAUGCAGAUCUGGUUUGGUGACAUUUUCUUAGCAGUCAAUUAUCACUGUAUGUCAUAUUUUUUUUCUGCAGACUUUUUGAACCCAGUAUGUGGGUACUGGGACAAGAAGAACUUUCACAAGUUAGAAUUCCUACCUUUUAAUUUUAUGUCCCACCCCUCGGGACACUGACUGCGAUGUUGUAAGGUCGCAGAGUGUUGAGAAAUUGACUUGUAAAUGAUACUUUGUCACCAGACACUUGGUCCCUUGCAGACUCCAAAUGCAUUAGAAAACCCAGACACUGGAAUGAACUUUCUGAUCUUUGUAAGAAAAGCAGAAGACGUCUUCACAUUUUAGAUCGUCCAGGCAGUUAGCAUUCUCUCCUCCGAGGAUGAUUUAAUCAUGUCCCCCUCAUCACUGGACAGAUGUCAGGGGCAGGGGCCUGAUGAUGGUGUGGUAAGAUAAUGAAGGAGUCAGCGCUGAGUCUGACCUCCAUCCUAGCCAAGUUCUCUAGUGAGCCCGUCCCCACACCACCCCAGCAGCUGAGGCGCAGAGGGAAUCAGGAGAUGUUCAGUCUGGGCAUUUACAGGUCAUCUGGUCUCUGUGCUGUAAAUUGGUUUAGCUGCUGUGCCCUCCGUCACAGGUUUGAUUCCCCACACCCCUCAGUGUAUCCAGCCAUACUUGCAAAUGCUUUGGGGGAAGCUGUUAGUACAGAGAACUGGCCCAACCUUUGUUGCCAAGAAGUAGGGGCAUAGAGUGUCUUCUGAGCCUCCUAGAAUCCUCAGCAGGGCAGGACGCUGGGCUGACACUCAGCUGUUGUGUGUUGGGCAUGGAAGUUGUGGGAUGUUUGCUCUGGCUUCCUGCCUCCUCGUCACACCCCUGAGCCUUUCCCUGUGCCGAGGGUGGGGCACUCUCAUGAGAGAACCCAAGCCAGCAUUGGGAACGGGAGUGUGCUGUGACCCAGUGCUAUCUGAGUGCCUCUUGGGAGCUGCAGCUGGUGGUCUGUCCCCUACCUUAUCUCCAUGGAGAUGGCAGGUUGGGGAAGGAUCUGUGUCUGCUGUACUGAGAGACAGGACAGGAAAGCUAAGGACAGCUUCUAGCCUUGUAAGCAUGUCAGUGCUUUUACACACACACACACACACACACACACACACACACACACAGGCACACAGGCACACACAGAGAGAGAGAGAGAGAGAGAGAGAGAGAGAGAGAGAGAGAGAGAGUCAGAUGACAUCUUUCCUGCUCUCCUAGAUCAGACAGAGUGUUACAUUGUAGACAGUGUUACAUUGUCACGGACAUGGGAAUCCCCUUGCCAACCUGGCAUCAACUGGUCACAUUCUGCCCUCCUAUUUGCUCCAGUUUCCUAUCUGAACUUCCUCACCACAGAUAACAGUGAGGAACAAAUGACAGGUCCCAGCCAGAGUAGCCAAGGUGCAGCCCACUGUCCUUCCUGCCUCUGCUUGGCUCUGUCUUGGUCAUCAGCUAAGGGACGAGCAGGCCUGAGCUCAGUGCUUGAGUGUUGUGAGCAGGCAUGGUGCUAGAUUUUUAUGCACAGCCUUCAUCCUUCCAUCACCUCAUAGCAGCAAGGUCCGUCGUGCCCAGAAAGGAACCAGAGGCCCAAAGAAGUGGAGUAACUUCCGUCAGGCCACACAGUGUAGAAGCGAGGAUCCUCUCUCUCCACUGAGGUACAUUUGAACAGGACUUGAGUCAUCAUAAGGUGUUUCCCAAGGUAUCCCAGCUUGGGAUGGCUCAGACCAUCAGAAUGGGACAGCUUCGGCUUUGUCUACACCCCAGGGAUAAUGAACCUUCCCCCACCACUUAAAAUCGACCUUCAAUCUCCAUGUAGGUCUCCAAGAAGGGUUCCCGAAGUAGGGUUUCUUGGUCACAUGUAUAAGGGGCCCCCAGCAAGGCUUGCAAGCCCCAAGGAACUGCACAUUAGGAAGGUUUCAGUGACCAGCACUGCAGUCAGAUUGUGUAGCAAGCUGACCCAAGCUGGGGUACAGUCUUUCUGUGAGCCCCAAAGCUCUCCAGAGCAGAGGAUAGCAUCUUCUUGGGGACCCCAGCUAGUACCCCAUUGCCUUCUCCCUAGGUAAGGCGGGUCCCAGAGCCCCUUUAAUUUGACAGGAAGGCCCUUACCUUUUGGGUAUCUGACCCUUGGAGAAGUGCUGCCCUUGCUGAAAUGUUCCCUGUGGUCCAUGAAAUCCAAUUAGAGGAACUUAUGAGUUCCUUUUCUGCCUUGCCCAGAGAGGCCACUGUCCCUCCUUGUAUGCGUUUCUAGGAUCCCAAGGAUCAGGAAAUGGGGCAGGUCAGUGCCACACAGCCAGAGAGGCAGUAUGCCAGCUUCUGGUCCUGGCUAGGAUGCUUGUCCACUGACUAGGAUCUGUGUGGGAGCUAGAGCCACACACGCAGCUGAAUAUGUGAUCUGGGCAUUGUGGCCCUCUCCUGCAGGGGUAUGGCCACCCUUUGUCAUCAAUGGGUAGUAAAAUGGCCUAUCUCUCCUGCUGCAGCCAGUCUUGCCUAUCUCUCCUGCUGCAGCCAGUCCUACUUACAAGAUCAUAUAUUUCCCAAGUCGGGACCAAGGAGGAGCAGUCAGAGACCAACUGGCACAUGGGCACCUGUGCCAAGCCCUCCUAGCCUCUUUCCUCCAGGGCCACUCUGUGCAGGGUCUGGAGGAGAGAGAGGGUGCUAAGCUUCAGCUGAGAGCCCCGAGGUACAGAACACAGGCUCGGUGGGGCUCCUUGAAGAAACCGGGGGAUGAAAUUAUGAGCUCUGGUUACCCCUUGUGCAACCUCCUGAGAUCAGAGCUUGAGCAAGACCUGGUAUGGGGGAGGGAGGGAGGGAACCACAAAACCCACAGGGCAGAGGGCAAUGCACAUCACUACCAGCGUGACAAAACCCUGCCAUCACUCAGGACAGAUGGAGGCUACACCUGGAACACAAGUCUGCAUGGUUGGGCCUGGCUCACUGUGGGUGCCGUCUGUGGUUUACUGAUGGGAAAUAAAACCCAAGGGCCGAAAAGUUGCUCAGUGGGUAGAGCAUGAGAACCCUGAGUUCAGAUCCUCAGAGCCCACAUUAAAGUAAAACCAGCUCUGGGAGGAGGGGGGAAGAUAGGCAGGUUCAGGGGGUUCGCUGGCCAGCUACUAGAACCAAAAAAGAUGAGCUCUGGUUCCGUGAGAGACGAUGGUUCUUCUUUUGUUUGCUUUGAGUUUUGUUUUGCUUUUUUAAAUGGUGAGUGGAUAAAUGAUUAAGGAGGAUCCUUGAUGUCAACCCCUGGUCUCCACAUGCAAGCAAGUACAAGUACCUACACAUGUACAUGUGUGCACACAUGCACACGUAGACAAGAUAGAGAGAGAGAGAGGGAGAAGGAAAUCCAGGUGACUCAGGCCUUUCCGAGGACAAGCUUGAGCACAGUAGUGUCCUCAUGACUGUCAAGGCCACAUCAUUGGGGAGACAUCGUCUCAACCUCCCCAUCUUUCUGCCGAUGGCUGCCUCAAAAGCAUUUCGGAUCUGCUUUUCCAUGGGGCUAACUCCCAGCCGAUGUGCGUUCAGCGUGCAUUGGCCACAGGGUACUUCGGAGCGAGCCCUGGUUCUUCAUGGAGCCCUCUGUCUGGUGGAGUAGCCCAAGUCUAUGUCUGCCUCCUGUGGUCUUUCUUGAUUUUUUUUUAAGACUUGCAGCCUGUAUGAGACCUCAUGUGACUGAGGAUAGCUGUGCUUUCCACCCAAAACAAAAUCAUACACUUAAAACAUUACGAGUUUGCUUUUUCUUUUGUCCUUUGUAACUCAGUUGCUCAGUUUGGGGUGGGAACUUUGCAGAUGGUGUCACUGUGCUGAAAUGUCAAAGCAUAAGACCUGAGAAUCAUUGGCAUUUGCAGUUCAAUGUACUGUUAUUACAUUACCAAUCGUUCUGUGUGCAGGCUUGCCAAGAGGGCAUGGAUGCCCAACCUCAGGUGGGUUUGAGGGCAUUGCCAGGUGGGCUGAUCUGUAGAAGAGCAGAGUCUUGUCCCCAGAUUUCCCACCAGAGAAUUCCCGUGAUUCUUCAUUUCAGGCGCCAUUGUUCCCCAGGGGACAUUUGGCAAUGCCUAGAGAUCAUUCUUGUCUCGGGUUUACAGAGGAGUGCGGAGGUCCUGCCUCUAGAGGGUGGAGGCCAGAGGUGCUGCUCAUCCACACACACAGGAUGGACCCUAUGGCUGAGUGCUACCCAGCCCCCAAAUGCCAACGGCACCGAAGAUGGGAGACUCCAUCAGACCUCAGAGUCCAAAUCGAUGGGGAGUUUUCCAAAGCUGCACCCGUCAUGUGUGAGUCAGAUCACACGUGGGUCAGAGAAAAUCAGAGCACAGAGGCUGCUCAAGGUGAGAGAAUGUCAGCCAUGUGACUGCUCCCUGGGUGGAGAUGACCCUACGAUACAGCCAGACUGCUGAGGCUGAGCCUGCCUCCCACCUGUGACUCUGUCCAGGACCUCUGAGGCCUGCCUCUCACCAGGGCACCUGAGAAACAUGAUCAGUGGAGAGCUCCUGAUGGGGACAGGAACAGCAUCUGACAAAUCCAGGUCUCCUUUCUGACCCUCUGUGUCCCCCAGCCCUGCUCGCCAAAGCUGCAGACAUUCUAACUCUUUCUUCUGUCUAACUCUUUCCGGAAUUCUUACCCAUCACCUGCUGCUCACGGAUUCCAGCCGUUCACCAGGAGAGCAUCAGCCAAGCUUCUGUGUUUGUGACGAUUGCUUAGCCAGCUUGUAAAUGUGACAUGGAGGUACUUUAACUGUUGUUCUGGGUCCCUGCUGCCCAGGCACCUGGUUCUCUGUGUAUUACUGGCUUCUAUUUUGCAGCAGAAAGGUUCUUUGCUGAUGUAAGAUUAACGUGUGCUCUCUUGAAGGUAUGAUGGUGACACUUCCCUGUGUUAGCUUUCUUGCUAUGGUUGUCAUUUUCUAUUUCAAUUAAACAAAAGGAAGAUUUAACUCUGAAAAGAAG